rnacentral:rRNA from 1 species
GACGAACGCUGGCGGCGUGCCUAAUACAUGCAAGUUGAGCGCUGAAGGUUGGUACUUGUACCAACUGGAUGAGCAGCGAACGGGUGAGUAACGCGUGGGGAAUCUGCCUUUGAGCGGGGGACAACAUUUGGAAACGAAUGCUAAUACCGCAUAAAAACUUUAAACACAAGUUUUAAGUUUGAAAGAUGCAAUUGCAUCACUCAAAGAUGAUCCCGCGUUGUAUUAGCUAGUUGGUGAGGUAAAGGCUCACCAAGGCGAUGAUACAUAGCCGACCUGAGAGGGUGAUCGGCCACAUUGGGACUGAGACACGGCCCAAACUGCUACGGGAGGCAGCAGUAGGGAAUCUUCGGCAAUGGGCGAAAGUCUGACCGAGCAACGCCGCGUGAGUGAAGAAGGUUGUCGGAUCGUAAAACUCGGUUGGUAGAGAAGAACGUUGGUGAGAGUGGAAAGCUCAUCAAGUGACGGUAACUACCCAGAAAGGGACGGCUAACUACGUG